rnacentral:lncRNA from 1 species
UCACAUAGAUUGACAUUUGAUCCGGGAGGACACACCUUGACGAAGCAAGAGGCUGCUAUCCGAGAUCAAGAAUGCAAAUCUGAGGAUAGAUCUUCUCAAGCCGGAGGAGAUGAUGGACACCAUCCAGCCACAACCACCCCCUAAGCAAAGCCUUGGAUUUGAGGACAAAUCCUUUUCAAGAGGGAGGGGAUGAUGGAGGAAGGCCCAAGCUCACCACACUAUGAAAGCCAAGCUUCCAAGACCAAGACCGUCUAGCCUUCACAAAGAAGCGUCUAGCCUUCCAAAAGGAGCGUCUAGCCUCACAAGGAGCGUCUAGCCUCACAAAGGGAGCGUCUAGCCAUGAUGAGGAGCGUCUAGGCCAAGGCUACAUGAGGAGCAUCUAUGAAGAGUCCUAGACCGUCUAGCUUCACACACACAAGGGCCAAAGCUACGGUUUGGGAGAGAAAAGGCUUUGUUGCAUAAAAGGCCC